rnacentral:snoRNA from 1 species
GGUGCAUAUCACAGGCUGUGUUCCUGCACUGACUGUAUAGAAAGAGAGUAAACCUACCCCAUAUACACCUCAGCCCAGGCCCUGUGCCUAGUCUGUAUUGUGAGCGGGGAGACAUGG